rnacentral:misc_RNA from 1 species
GUGAGUCAUCGAAUCUUUGAACGCACCUUGCGCCCCUUGGCUAUUCCGAGGGGCAUGCCUGUUUGAGUAUCAUGAACACCUCAACUCUCAUGGUUUGCCAUGAUGAGUUGGACUCUGGGGGUUUUGCUGGCCUGUGGUCGGCUCCUCUCAAAUUAAUCAGCCUCCCAGUGUUUGGUGGCAUCACGGGUGUGAUAAAUAUCUACGCUCGCUGUUGUCUGCCAGGUAACCUUUGGUCACAAAGGUUUGCUGGAGCUCACAGAUGUCUCUCCUCAGCGAGGACAGCUUUUUUAACGUUCGAUC